UUGGUAGGUUACAGCAGAGCGAGAGGAGAGGAGGGGAGUGGAGAGGGGAGGAGGGCGGCGGCCGGAUAGGCCGCCGAGUGACGGCUCCGCAGUGGUGGGCUCGGCGUGCGGCUCUACUCUGCGACGGCCGUGGAGGGCUGCUCUGGGCUCCGCGGCGGCGUCGCGGCGGUGGGCUCGGCGUGCGGCUCUGCUCUGCGACGGCCGUGGAGGGCGCUGGCUGCUCUGGGCCUCGCGGGAGGUGGAGCGGCGGCCCUGGGGGUGAGGUCGCCGGUGGGCCUCGUGGUGGCUUGCGUGGGGGGCUCGGAUCCAGAGCCUGGGUGGAUCUGGCCCUCCCUUCAGGCGUGGUGCUUCGCCGCGGGGAGGUGCCCCGGCGGCCAGCGGCGGAGUUGUUUAUGUGCAGCAGCAUGCUCGCUCCCCUUGGAGCUUGGCGAUGACCAUGAUAGUGGAGCGCUGGCUACUCCGAAAAUGCAACUGACUGCAUGCUGUUCGAUAUAAUUCUCUCACAACUGAAACAUUAAAUCGAACAGACUCCUAUGGAAGCUGAUAGUAACCACCAGAGAUGCUGGCUCAAGUGCGUCAACAGCUAUUCUUGUCACUGGUCGCUUGGUGGUCGCAAAUGUUGGUAAUUCUAGUGCUGUUGUCUCUAGGAGGGAAGGGUGAAUCCAAUGUCUGUCAUAUUGUGAUUUGUGGACUCUUGAUUUCAGUGGAAAGUUCAUAUUGUUGUCGUUUUCCCCGUGGAUACUCGUCAGUUGAAAUUAACUGCAUAAUAUGAUCUCAUGUUAAUCUCAUUUCGUUUGCAUUAGAUGAUAAUGAUGUUUGCUGCAUCCCACCCUUUCAGCAAUUGCUGUUUUGAGGGAUCACAAACCUUACCAGACAGAGAGAUAGAGAAUUGUGGAAGUUCAUAUUAAUGAUGAAUCCAAUGUUGAUUUCAGUGGAAAGUUCAUACUGUUGUGGUUUUCUCCCUGGAUACACGUCAGUUGAAAUUAACUGCAUAAUAUGGUGUCAUGUUAAUCUCAUUUCGUUUGCAUUAGAUGAUAAUGAUGUUUGCUGCAUCCCACCCUUUCAGCGAUUGCCGUUUUGAGGGAUCACAAACCUUACCAGACAGAGAGUAGAGGAUUGUAGAAGUUCAUAUUAAUGAUGAAUCCAAUGUUGAUUUCAGUGGGAAGUUCAUAUUGUUGUGGUUUUCUCCCUGGAUACACGUCAGUUGAAAUUAACUGCAUAGUAUGAUCUCAUGUUAAUCUCAUUUCAUUUUCAUUAGAUGAUCAUGAUGUUUGCUGCAUCCCACCCUUUCAGCGAUUGCCGUUUUGAGGGAUCACAAACCUUACCAGACAGAGAGACAGAAUUGUGGAAGCUGGAGGAUUUUUGUGAGGGAUGUGGUGUGUUGGUGGUGUUCUUGCUGUUUUCUUGAGCAUUUUGUGAUAAACUUACGAAGCAGUAUGUUAUUGGUGAUCGACAGAUCAAUGCUUGACUUUACUUUUCUUCCUAAGUUCUCAACUACAACCUAGACUUGUAGGUUUUUUAUUAGAUAUUCUAGGCAGUCAUUACGUCAUCAUAACUGAACGGUAGCCUCUUUAUAGAGAUUUCUGAUUUACCGGUGCACAUGAACUCCUCAUCCAAGAUGUUGGUUGUUCUCGCAUGAAGAACAAAUAAUGGUCACCCAUUCUCCCUUAGAAGAGGAAGAUCAAGGCUAUUACAAUUGGUGAUUGAACCUUUUAUGAAGUCAACCUUCUUAAUCACUUUGCUUCACUGUUAUUUACAGGAGGAGGUAGUCAACAGCUGACUAGAAUUCCUCACCCAUGCUAGUGAUGGCCUGUGGGGUUUUGUAACUAACGAUGUUUUUACUGAAGAUUCUCCUUCACAUAGUGAUAUUUUCCUGUAGUUCUCAAUGGGUUGUCCCGGAUUUUCUAUUUCCAGGAAGUUGUUGCCAUGGCCAAGCCAAUAGAGGAUCCUGAGCAAGCGACGAAGGGACUAGUUCAAGAAGCUUCCCAAAGAGCAAGUGCUGACACAUGACCGUUGUCAUUUGUUCCCAAAGGAUGGAACAACGUCGAGCGGUGAUGUAAUGAGUGAGGAGGUUUGCUAAUGAACCAAUCCUGAUAGUUGUUAUUGUUCGUCCGUGGUGCUGUAUCUGCUGUUGUAUCUGAUGUCAUGUGGCGGUGGCACCCUCCCGUGCUGCGAAACCAAACUGACUUGGCCUGAGUUUCGCCUUGGUUCCAUCCUCCUGGCUAUCCUAGAUGGUGGUUGAUGUCGGAGCAGACGGAUGGUGGGGCCAGUGUUGUUACCAUAUGAUCCAAGGGCGAUUGCCGUUUUGAGGGAUCACAAACCUUACCAGACAGAGAGACAGAGAAUUGUGGAAGCUGGAGGAUUUUUGUGAGGUGGGCUGGUACUUCUAUGUGGCCUCUGAAACUCUAUACUCCAGGAUGUGGUGUGUUGGUGGUGUUCUUGCUGUUUUCUCGAGCAUUUGGUGAUAAACUUACGAAGCAAGAUUUCUGAUUUACCGGUGCACAUGAACUCCUCAUCCAAGAUGUUGGUUGUUUUCGCAUGAAGAACAAAUAAUGGUCACCCAUUCUCCCUUAGAAGAGGAAGAUCAAGGCUAUUACAAUUGGUGAUUGAACCUUUUAUGAAGUCAACCUUCUUAAUCACUUUGCUUCACUGUUAUUUACAGGAGGAGGUAGUCAACAGCUGACUAGAAUUCCUCACCCAUGCUAGUGAUGGCCUGUGGGGUUUUGUAACUAACGAUGUUUUUACUGAAGAUUCUCCUUCACAUAGUGAUAUUUUCCUGUAGUUCUCAAUGGGUUGUCCCGGAUUUUCUAUUUCCAGGAAGUUGUUGCCAUGGCCAAGCCAAUAGAGGAUCCUGAGCAAGCGACGAAGGGACUAGUUCAAGAAGCUUCCCAAAGAGCAAGUGCUGACACAUGACCGUUGUCAUUUGUUCCCAAAGGAUGGAACAACGUCGAGCGGUGAUGUAAUGAGUGAGGAGGUUUGCUAAUGAACCAAUCCUGAUAGUUGUUAUUGUUCGUCCGUGGUGCUGUAUCUGCUGUUGUAUCUGAUGUCAUGUGGCGGUGGCACCCUCCCGUGCUGCGAAACCAAACUGACUUGGCCUGAGUUUCGCCUUGGUUCCAUCCUCCUGGCUAUCCUAGAUGGUGGUUGAUGUCGGAGCAGACGGAUGGUGGGGCCAGUGUUGUUACCAUAUGAUCCAAGGGGUACUUUUCUUCUUCUUGCUGAACCUUGCACUUCGCAGCUUCUUUGCUGGUGCUUCAUGCUAGUGAUUUUUAGCAUCAGUAAUGUAAAUGCAUGUAACUCUACUGUUUGAAUGAUUUUAACAAAGUUGCUCUGCCUGUGAUGUCA